GGCGGCGAUGUGCGUCAGGGGCCAGACAGCAAACCGUUUCUAAACUCAAAAGUCCUCUGAAAAGUGGUGUAAAGCCAAAUGAAUACAAGCUUGCAGAAGACCAAAGGUCAAGACACUGACAUUGCUGGACUGCUCUAUCAUAUUGAUACCUUUUCUUCUCUGUGUCGCCUCUCCUGCUCCUCAAG